rnacentral:rRNA from 1 species
UACAGAGGUCCCAAGCGUUGUUCGGAUUCACUGGGCGUAAAGGGUGCGUAGGUGGCCAGGUAAGUUUGGUGUGAAAGCUCGGAGCUUAACUCCGAAACUGCAUUCGAUACUGCGGUGCUUGAGGACUGGAGAGGAGACUGGAAUUCAUGGUGUAGCAGUGAAAUGCGUAGAGAUCAUGAGGAAGACCAGUGGCGAAGGCGGGUCUCUGGACAGUUCCUGACACUGAGACACGAAGGCCAGGGGAGCAAACGGG